CACGUGAGGGUCCGAGCGUUGUCCGGAAUUGACUGGGCGUAAAGCGUGCGCAGGCGGUUGGGUCAGUCGCUAGGUGAAAGCCCCACGCCUCAACGUGGGAAUGGCCAACGAGACGGCCCGACUGGAGGCAGGGAGAGGCCGGUGGAAUUCCGGGUGUAGUGGUGAAAUGCGUAGAGAUCCGGAGGAACACCAGAGGCGAAGGCGGCCGGCUGGACCUGGACCUGACGCUGAGGCACGAAGGCGUGGG
rnacentral:rRNA from 1 species